ensembl:lncRNA
UUUAAAUUUAAUUUUAAUUUAAUGAUUAGGUAGUUAAUAAGCGGAGAUGUUCUGUUUAUCUACAGUAGGACGGGAUUUAACGAUGUAGGCUGAUGUGCUUCUUUUCCUUAUUACUAAUCUUUAUUGUUAACCAUAUUGAUGAGAAAUGUGAUGUAUAUGUAAAAUCCAUAGGCUAAUUUAAUUCAGUUUUGUUCUGUAAUGUUGUAAUGGUUUUUUUCUACACACACACAUACACUAAACGUACACAUGAACGCUCUUUUCAAACAGAAGCUUGUAACACACAUGAUAUCUGCCACAUAAUGACUACUACAAAUUACAAAUUAUAUAUAAUUUUAUUUCAUAUAAAGGGAAAAUUAAAAGUGAGUUAAUCCAAGCAGCUCUAAUGGCGCGGUGUUGCCAUUUAAACAUGUUAAUUACAAAAACAAAACGUUCGUUGUACUGUCUCUGGAAAAAAUCAACAGUGAUUGAUCAGCCUUUAUUUAUACAGUAUUGUAGACGUUAUUAUUACCUAGGCGAAGCAAAAUUUUCUGAAAUAUAGGCUACAGUAAGAGCGCCUGCAUGGCUGUCCAUCAGAUGCCUGUCAAAGUUGAGUUCGUUACUAUAGCAACAGUAAAACUUUCAUGUCGUUAUAACGAGAAAACAAACUUUUGUUAUGUCGAGAUAACGAGAAAAAUAAGUCGCUAUAACGAGAAAACGACUUUCGUUAUGUCGAGAUAACGAGAAAAAUAAGUCGCUAUAACGAGAAAACAAAAAGGAAAAAAAUUAUAAUGGAUGGCCGCUUAGAACUUCCGUAGUUGUCAAAAUAGGGCUUGGGCGCCGCGUUGCAUUCUGGGAUGUGGAGGCCAUGUUGAUGGCUUCGUGAAUGUAAACAUACAGCAAGUCGAACGAGAAGAAACAGAGUUGGGAGAAAGAAAAAAUAUGUUAAAAUCGCGAAAAGGUUGUGGGAUUUACAGGGAUACGCUAAGUAGGGAUGCCAGGGAUCUGUAUGUGGACAAAAUCGGCACUAUUAACGGUUUGGAUCAAUAUGAAAAUCCCAACAAAGAGUGGAGCACCGACGACGAGUUGCAGCCGCACUUUCGCAUUACAGAUAUCUUCGGCUACCUUGUUUGUUUUGUGAGCGCCUAUACUUCAGAACAGUUCCGAAGCUACAAGUCAUUGGAGUCUCAUGUGCAGUUCACAAAUGGAUGGGUUAAGGAGCUGCAGAUCAUAAAGCCGGCAAACAGUAUACAGUAAUCCGGACAAAGCUGCUCCCUUUUGCAGAUGCUUUCAGCACACCAGUUAAUCACCACCAGAUGUGAUGAAGAGAGACACAGAGACUCACAGAGAGAGAGGUUGAGGAGCAUAUGUGUGUGACAGAUUGGAUGUAGAGAAAAAUGGAGAGGAAGAUAAAGACAAGAGAAUGAGUCCAACCAGCUGAUAAAAUCAUCACACUAAUCCACAAGUAAUCCACAC